rnacentral:ncRNA from 2 species
CUGUCAUCGAGAAAGGUGGAGGGACUGGCCCUGAGAAACCUUGGCAACCGUCAUUGCAAUAUGAUUGGUGCCAAUUCCAUCCCGGAUUACUGGCCGGGAGAGAUGAUGG